rnacentral:rRNA from 1 species
GAUGAACGCUGGCGGCGUGCCUAAUACAUGCAAGUCGAGCGAACAGACGAGGAGCUUGCUCCUCUGACGUUAGCGGCGGACGGGUGAGUAACACGUGGAUAACCUACCUAUAAGACUGGGAUAACUUCGGGAAACCGGAGCUAAUACCGGAUAACAUGUUGAACCGCAUGGUUCAACAGUGAAAGACGGUUUUGCUGUCACUUAUAGAUGGAUCCGCGUCGCAUUAGCUAGUUGGUAAGGUAACGGCUUACCAAGGCAACGAUGCGUAGCCGACCUGAGAGGGUGAUCGGCCACACUGGAACUGAGACACGGUCCAGACUCCUACGGGAGGCAGCAGUAGGGAAUCUUCCGCAAUGGGCGAAAGCCUGACGGAGCAACGCCGCGUGAGUGAAGAAGGUCUUCGGAUCGUAAAACUCUGUUAUUAGGGAAGAACAUAUGUGUAAGUAACUGUGCACAUCUUGACGGUACCUAAUCAGAAAGCCACGGCUAACUACGUG